GAUGAACGCUGGCGGCGUGCCUAAUACAUGCAAGUCGAGCGAACAGACGAGGAGCUUGCUCCUCUGACGUUAGCGGCGGACGGGUGAGUAACACGUGGAUAACCUACCUAUAAGACUGGGAUAACUUCGGGAAACCGGAGCUAAUACCGGAUAAUAUAUUGAACCGCAUGGUUCAAUAGUGAAAGACGGUUUUGCUGUCACUUAUAGAUGGAUCCGCGCCGCAUUAGCUAGUUGGUAAGGUAACGGCUUACCAAGGCGACGAUGCGUAGCCGACCUGAGAGGGUGAUCCGCCACACUGGAACUGAGACACGGUCCAGACUCCUACGGGAGGCAGCAGUAGGGAAUCUUCCGCAAUGGGCGAAAGCUUGACGGAGCAACGCCGCGUGAGUGAUGAAGGUCUUCGGAUCGUAAAACUCUGUUAUUAGGGAAGAACAAAUGUGUAAGUAACUAUGCACGUCUUGACGGUACCUAAUCAGAAAGCCACGGCUAACUACGUG
rnacentral:rRNA from 1 species